rnacentral:rRNA from 1 species
AGGAAUAUUGGUCAAUGGGCGAGAGCCUGAACCAGCCAAGCCGCGUGAGGGAAGAAGGCGCUCAGCGUCGUAAACCUCUUUAGCCGGGGAACAACACCCUGCACGCGAUGCAGGACUGAGUGUACCCGGAGAAUAAGCAUCGGCUAACUCCGUGCCAGCAGCCACGGUAAUACGGAGGAUGCGAGCGUUAUCCGGAUUUAUUGGGUUUAAAGGGUGCGCAGGCGGACAGUCAAGUCUGCGGUAAAAUCGCGGGGCUCAACCCCGCCAAGCCGUGGAAACUGGCUGACUUGAGUGGGCGAGAGGUAUGCGGAAUGCGCGGUGUAGCGGUGAAAUGCUUAGAUAUCACGAAGAACCCCGAUUGCGAAGGCAGCUUGCCAGGCCUGGACUGACGUUGAGGCUCGAAGGUGCGGGUAUCGAACAGGAUUAGAUACCCUGGUAGUCCGCACGGUAAACGAUGGAUACUCGCUGUCGGCGAUACACGGUCGGCGGCCAAGCGAAAGCGUUAAGUAUCCCACCUGGGGAGUACGCCGGCAACGGUGAAACUCAAAGGAAUUGACGGGGGCCCGCACAAGCGGAGGAACAUGUGGUUUAAUUCGAUGAUACGCGAGGAACCUUACCCGGGCUUGAACUGUGCCUGACUGCCUCAGAGAUGGGGCUUCCAGCAAUGGCAGGCAUGGAGGUGCUGCAUGGUUGUCGUCAGCUCGUGCCGUGAGGUGUCGGCUUAAGUGCCAUAACGAGCGCAACCCCUCCCGCCAGUUGCCAUCAGGUAAAGCUGGGCACUCUGGGGGCACUGCCACCGCAAGGUGUGAGGAAGGUGGGGAUGACGUCAAAUCAGCACGGCCCUUACGUCCGGGGCUACACACGUGUUACAAUGGGAGGUCACAGAGGGCUGCUACCCGGCGACGGGACGCCAAUCCCCAAACCCUCCCUCAGUACGGACUGGAGUCUGCAACCCGACUCCACGAAGCUGGAUUCGCUAGUAAUCGCGCAUCAGCCACGGCGCGGUGAAUACGUUCCCG